rnacentral:tRNA from 1 species
GGCUGCGUAGCUCAGUGGAAGAGCGCCCGAGAGAUCGGGAGGUCGGCGGUUCGAAUCCGUUCGGAGUCU